ACCAUCUUCAGGAGAUGACUUCCAAGGUCAGGGUAGACUCUUCUGUCUUAGCCGACGGGAAUGAUGGCAUGCCACGUCCAAGCUUCAUAACCGAGAAUGAUUGAAAACAAGAGAAAGAGUUGCUGUCAAAGAUUAUACAGUACAAUGAAGUUGUACAGUGGGGCUCAAGAAUAUAAAUGUUAGCAGCAAAUCUCUGGUCACUUGAUAAUGAGAAAAACUAGUGUUUGAGUGUGGAUAUCACCACCAAUGUUCGACUUUAAUACUGACUAUAAU